CCAACCAUCAAAAGGAUGCUACAAUGUUCGAAAUUCUCAACUUAAGCAUAUCAAGAUAGAGGCUUUCUCAGAAGGGUGGAAAUUCGGUCUUUGAGUUCCCAUUGCUACCUGCUUCAUUCUUUGCUUUCGGAUUACCACUGCCUUAGAGUGUGCACAGAAGAGCCAUCCAUAGUUCAGGGCUUCAGUCUAGCUAUGAUUCCCCUUGUCUGCUCGAUUAGACGAAAGCUACUGUUCUACAAUUACAGGUGAGAAAGCUAGCCUUCUUGGCGAUCCGCUAUAACUAUAACUAACAAUGGAAGACUGACCCGGCUGUUCUUAGCUCUUCACACUUGAUAAUUCAUUCCUACUUAUUAAUUAAGCUAUCACAGAUGGCAAAGGCGAUCUCUGUUAUGGAAUUUGCCUUCCAGACAAGAUCCAGAGUAGGUGUUCACAUAGGCAUAUAACU
rnacentral:lncRNA from 1 species